ensembl:lncRNA
CUUUUCUUCCGCUUUCAUUCAGCCAUUUUCUCUGAGACACUUUGCGCCUGUGUGUUUCCUGCAGUAAUAACAUCGCCGGCGGCACUCAUGCUCUUCUGUGAAUUGUACUUCUUGGACUUCCAGGAACAGUUGACAAGUUAAUAUGAACUCCAUACACAGGUGUGUAAUGAGGGAGAUCGCUUCAGCACGCACCCAAUCAGAAACAGCUAAUCUGACCAUAUUGUUUGACAAGUGUGUUCCUUACUGCUCUCUGCCACAGGAGAUGUAAUCUGAAACAAUUAUGCCAAUUCCUCAGAACAGUAUGGUGCGGGGUGAGUUGGCAAUUUCCUGUGAGAUGGAACCACUGCAGUCGGGCGUCUCUCUCUGAUAACGUCUCUGACAUGAGCUGCUGUUAGCGUCAGCACACAGAGCUGGACUAGCACUGAUGGGGACUUGUCAUACAGUCCAGAGAGCUGUGACCUGCUCUGCUUCCACAGCGCUCUUCUGGUACUGCAGCACACAUUACAAACAUUGUGCAUAGCAUGCAAAUAAUAUGUAUGCAUAUCAAAUGACUUAAGCAUUGCUAAAAUGCUCACAGAGCAUACUUGAUGGAACAGUGUAUCCCACAAUGCACCUGACCUUCCAUUUCCAGUGUGACAGAUGAACCAGAAGUAAUAUCAGUCAUGAUUUUUAACAUCUUUUUCUGGACUCAGAAUAGACUAAUUCUUCAGAAUGCACUACUUGCUUGCUCUUUACUGAAUACAGUACAUGCUGCUUCCUAUUUCAAAUAAGAAUAAGAAUAAAAAAUAAUAAUAAACACCA